CGCUAUUUUAAGCUCAAAAUAAAGCUGCCUUCUAAGCAGUUGGCCGUGGGUUCGAUUCCCGCCCGGGCUACCA
rnacentral:tRNA from 1 species